rnacentral:tRNA from 1 species
GCGGAAGUAGUUCAGUGGUAGAAUACAACCUUGCCAAGGUUGGGGUCGCGGUUCGAAUCCCGUCUUCCGCUCCA